rnacentral:rRNA from 1 species
GGGUUUAUUUGGAUGCAACGCGAAGACCCUUACAUACUCUUGACAUCCAGAGAAUUUAGCAGAGAUGCUUUGGUGCCUUCGGGAACUCUGAGACAGGUGCUGCAUGGCCGUCGUCAGCUCGUGUUGUGAAAUGUUGGGUUAAGUCCCGCAACGAGCGCAACCCUUAUCCUUUGUUGCCAGCGGUUCGGCCGGGAACUCAAAGGAGACUGCCAGUGAUAAACCGGAGGAAGGUGGGGAUGACGUCAAGUCAUCAUGGCCCUUAAGAGUAGGGCUACACACGUGCUACAAUGGCGUAUACAAAGAGAAGCGACCCCGCGAGAGCUAGCGGACCUCAUAAAGUACGUCGUAGUCCGGAUUGGAGUCUGCAACUCGACUCCAUGAAGUCGGAAUCGCUAGUAAUCGUAGAUCAGAAUGCUACGGUGAAUACGUUCCCGGCCCUUGUACACACCGCCCGUCACACCAUGGGAGUGGGUUGCAAAAGAAGUA